rnacentral:rRNA from 1 species
GAUGAACGCUGGCGGCGUGCCUAAUACAUGCAAGUCGAGCGAACAGACGAGGAGCUUGCUCCUCUGACGUUAGCGGCGGACGGGUGAGUAACACGUGGAUAACCUACCUAUAAGACUGGGAUAACUUCGGGAAACCGGAGCUAAUACCGGAUAAUAUAUUGAACCGCAUGGUUCAAUAGUGAAAGACGGUUUUGCUGUCACUUAUAGAUGGAUCCGCGCCGCAUUAGCUAGUUGGUAAGGUAACAGCUUACCAAGGCAACGAUGCGUAGCCGACCUGAGAGGGUGAUCGGCCACACUGGAACUGAGACACGGUCCAGACUCCUACGGGAGGCAGCAGUAGGGAAUCUUCCGCAAUGGGCGAAAGCCUGACGGAGCAACGCCGCGUGAGUGAUGAAGGUCUUCGGAUCGUAAAACUCUGCUAUUAGGGAAGAACAAAUGUGUAAGUAACUAUGCACGUCUUGACGGUACCUAAUCAGAAAGCCACGGCUAACUACGUG